rnacentral:rRNA from 1 species
UACAAGCGAGCGGCGGACGGGUGAGUAACACGUGGGUAACCUGCCCAAGAAACUGGAUAACACCUGGAAACAGAUGCUAAUACCGGAUAACAACACUAGACGCAUGUCUAGAGUUUAAAAGAUGGUUCUGCUAUCACUCUUGGAUGGGCCUGCGGUGCAUUAGCUAGUUGGUAAGGUAACGGCUUACCAAGGCAAUGAUGCAUAGCCGAGUUGAGAGACUGAUCGGCCACAUUGGGACUGAGACACGGCCCAAACUCCUACGGGAGGCAGCAGUAGGGAAUCUUCCACAAUGGACGCAAGUCUGAUGGAGCAACGCCGCGUGAGUGAAGAAGGGUUUCGGCUCGUAAAGCUCUGUUGGUAGUGAAGAAAGAUAGAGGUAGUAACUGGCCUUUAUUUGACGGUAAUUACUUAGAAAGUCACGGCUAACUACGUGCCAGCAGCCGCGGUAAUACGUAGGUGGCAAGCGUUGUCCGGAUUUAUUGGGCGUAAAGCGAGUGCAGGCGGUUCAAUAAGUCUGAUGUGAAAGCCUUCGGCUCAACCGGAGAAUUGCAUCAGAAACUGUUGAACUUGAGUGCAGAAGAGGAGAGUGGAACUCCAUGUGUAGCGGUGGAAUGCGCUAGAUAUAUGGAAGAACACCAGUGGCGAAGGCGGCUCUCUG